rnacentral:rRNA from 1 species
UACGUAGGUGGCAAGCGUUGUCCGGAUUUAUUGGGGUUAAAGGGUGCGUAGGCGGUCUAUUAAGUCAGUUGUGAAAUACGGCAGCUCAACUGUCGAGGUGCAAUUGAUACUGAUGGACUUGAGUACUGAUGAGGUAAGCGGAAUGGACGGUGUAGCGGUGAAAUGCUUAGAUAUCGUCCAGAACACCGAUAGCGAAGGCAGCUUACUAAGGAGUAACUGACGCUGAGGCACGAAAGCGUGGGGAGCAAACAGG